rfam:Prochlorococcus marinus str. MIT 9215, complete genome.
GAGGCCAAACCUCAAUGAGUACAAUCUUCGUUUACUCCAAGACAUAGAUUGACUUUAUAUAGUACGAGUCAAUUUAAUAACCUCUCUUGUAGUUGGAA